rnacentral:rRNA from 1 species
GACGAACGCUGGCGGCGUGCUUAACACAUGCAAGUCGAGCGGUAAGGCCCUUUCGGGGGUACGACGAGCGGCGAACGGGUAGAGUAACACGUGGGUGACCUCGCCCUCCAGCUCUGGGAGUAAGACCCGGGAAACCCGGGUACUAAUACUGGAUAUGACUCCAUGACGCAUGUUGUGGGGUGGAAAGCCUUGUGCGGCUGAGGAUGGGCCCGG